AUUGAACGCUGGCGGCAUGCUUUACACAUGCAAGUCGAACGGCAGCGCGGGCUUCGGCCUGGCGGCGAGUGGCGAACGGGUGAGUAAUACAUCGGAACGUGCCCAGUAGUGGGGGAUAGCUCGGCGAAAGCCGGAUUAAUACCGCAUACGACCUGAGGGUGAAAGCGGGGGAUCUUCGGACCUCGCGCUAUUGGAGCGGCCGAUGGCAGAUUAGCUAGUUGGUGGGGUAAAGGCCUACCAAGGCGACGAUCUGUAGCUGGUCUGAGAGGACGACCAGCCACACUGGGACUGAGACACGGCCCAGGCUCCUACGGGAGGCAGCAGUGGGGAAUUUUGGACAAUGGGCGAAAGCCUGAUCCAGCAAUGCCGCGUGUGUGAUGAAGGCCUUCGGGUUGUAAAGCACUUUUGGCGGGAACGAAAAGGACUGUGCCAAUACCACGGUUCGAUGACGGUACCCGCAGAAUAAGCACCGGCUAACUACGU
rnacentral:rRNA from 1 species